ACCUCAGUUCAGUAAGCGCAAACGGGCGGGCGUGGCUGCGGAGAUGGAGACCAUUCACUUCCUGGUUUUCCGCUCAGCCUGCGGGAAAGCAACGAAUCUCCUGAGUUUCAGAGUGCUGAGACAGAGGACGAUGGGCUGGGCUUCAGUUCCCUCACCUGGAGAGUGACGAGAACACCAGUACAAAACUCCAGGGCUGUUGGGAAGAUGGAAUGAAAUAGUACAUGAAUGAAAUAGUACAUGUAAUGGGUCGCAUUCACAGUGCCUGGAACACAACAAAUGCUCGUAAAGGAACAGAUUGCUCAAAAACCAAAUGACUGUUGCGUGAAAUGCGAGUGGGGAAAGGAGUGAGAUGAAGGGAACAGAGCCCUUCCAAACUCGCCCUUCAGCCUUCCCACCCAAUCAGAAAGGAAAUCAGUCAUGCCCACAAUCCUGCCAAUAACACAGUGUAGCGGCUACGUUCUUUGGACGAAUGACAGCGAGCUGUGGAAGAAAUCUGGUUUGGAGAAGAGAUGGGGGCUUGUGUUUACUGAACAUCUACGGCAAAUCAGGCCCUGUGCUUUCUUUUGCAUCUGUUCUCUUCUAAAGGGGAAUCAGGAUCCUGGCUGAGGGACCCUGGACUAUUUCACCUUUCAGGAUCUCAGUUUCUUUAGACUAAAAACAUGAAUUCCUAUUUUUUUUUUUU